UACGUAGGGGGGCUAGCGUUGUCCGGAAUCAUUGGGCGUAAAGAGCGUGUAGGCGGCCCGGUAAGUCCGCUGUGAAAGUCGGGGGCUCAACCCUCGAAUGCCGGUGGAUACUGUCGGGCUAGAGUGCGGAAGAGGCGAGUGGAAUUCCUGGUGUAGCGGUGAAAUGCGCAGAUAUCAGGAGGAACACCAAUUGCGAAGGCAGCUCGCUGGGACGUAACUGACGCUGAGAACGCGAAAGCGUGGGGAGCAAACAGG
rnacentral:rRNA from 1 species